GCUGACACGUCCCGGCCAAUCUCCAGCAGACCCUCCCUCCCAGACCCUCCUACUUCCUGGACAGCAUCCAUGUUGAAAUCCUUUACAUGAACACUUUACAUGGAUGCUGUCCAGGAAGUAGGAGGGUCUGGGAGGGAGGGUCUGCUGGAGAUUGGCCGGGACGUGUCAG